GUACAAAAGUUUGGGGAAAAUUCCAAAUAAGGGUUUGAAGUGUUUUCAUUUUCUCAAAUAAGGGCCUAGUGGAUCUUGUUUCCAAUAAAGGUUUGAAG